rnacentral:rRNA from 1 species
UACAGAGGUCUCAAGCGUUGUUCGGAUUCAUUGGGCGUAAAGGGUGCGUAGGCGGCGCGGUAAGUCGGGUGUGAAAUCUCGGAGCUUAACUCCGAAACUGCAUUCGAUACUGCCGUGCUUGAGGACUGGAGAGGAGACUGGAAUUUACGGUGUAGCGGUGAAAUGCGUAGAUAUCGUAAGGAAGACCAGUGGCGAAGGCGGGUCUCUGGGCCACUACUGACGCUGAGACGCGAAAGCGUGGGGAGCAAACGGG